rnacentral:rRNA from 1 species
GAUGAACGCUGGCGGCGUGCUUAACACAUGCAAGUCGAACGGUGAAGGGACCGGUUUUUGCUGGUUCUGGAUGAGUGGCGAACGGGUGAGUAACACGGGAGUACCCUGCCCCCUUCUUCUGGAUAACCGCAUGAAAGUGUGGCAAAUACGGGAUAAUCUGCGACUGCUGCAUGGUGGGGGUGGGAAAGGUAUUGAUUCGGCGGGGGGUGGGAUCGCGGCCUAUCUGCUUGUUGGUGGGGUGACUGCCUACCAAGGCGGUGACGGGUAGCCGGACUGGGGUGGUGGACGGUCCUACUGGUGCUGCGCCGCCGAGCCGCCUACUGCGGGCGGCAGCAGGGACUCUUAUGGCACGGUGGGCGCAAUGCUGAUGCAGCGCCGCCGCGUGCAUGAUGGACGCCGUCGGGUUGUACACCUCUUUCGCCAGUGAAGCAGGCCUUUCCCAUUUGUGGGUGGGUUGACGGUACCUGGAUAAGAAGCGCCGGCUAACUACGUG